rnacentral:rRNA from 1 species
UAAGAGCGCACGGUGGAUGCCUUGGCACUAGGAACCGAAGAAGGACGUAGGAAUCUGCGAUAAGCCUCGGGGAGUCGAUAACCAGACUGUGAUCCGAGGGUGUCCGAAUGGGGAAACCCGGCCAGCUUCAUCGCUGGUCACCCGCAUCUGAAUAUAUAGGGUGUGUGGAGGGAACGUGGGGAAGUGAAACAUCUCAGUACCCACAGGAAGAGAAAACAAAAGUGAUUCCGUUAGUAGUGGCGAGCGAACGCGGACCAGGCCUGGUCUGAAAUAAGGAGAAGUAUCUGGGAAGGUACGCCGUAGUGGGUGAUAGCCCCGUAUCCGUAAAAUGAAGACCUUUUAGAGUAGGGCGGGACACGUGAAAUCCUGUCUGAACAUGGGGGGACCACCCUCCAAGCCUAAGUACUCCUUACCGACCGAUAGUGAACAAGUACCGUGAGGGAAUGAUGAAAAGAACCCCGAUGAGGGGAGUGAAACAGAUCCUGAAACCGGAUGCCUACAAGCUGAUGGAGCUCUUCGGAGUGACAUCGUACCUUUUGUAUAAUGGGUCAGCGACUUACAUUCAGUGGCAAGCUUAACCGAGUAGGGAAGGCGUAGCGAAAGCGAGUCCGAAUAGGGCGUCUAGUCGCUGGGUGUAGACCCGAAACCAGAUGAUCUAUCCAUGGCCAGGUUGAAGCGACGGUAAGACGUCGUGGAGGACCGAACCCACUUAGGUUGAAAACUGAGGGGAUGAGCUGUGGGUAGGGGUGAAAGGCCAAUCAAACUCCGUGAUAGCUGGUUCUCCCCGAAAUGCAUUUAGGUGCAGCGUC